UUUUUAAAAUGGAUUGAAAUUUUCUUCCUAUAAUAUAAAUAAACAUUGUUACCUUACCGGCGUUUGAUAAAGUAAAACCUUAUAUGUAGUGUUCACCGCUGGUUAACAAUUGACCGAAUUGACACCGAUUUCCCUACACUGCCGUGAAAAUUUCGAAAAUCUAUAAUAGGUAAUCAAGUACAAAUUGGCAUCAAACAAAACUAUUCGAGCCUUUUCAAUUAUUACCUGUUAGAUUCUAAUCGUCCGACGUUGUUUCCCAUCGCAUCGGACCGUUAAGCCGCGGCGAGGUCUUAAUUACGUUUUCCUUCCAUACCCACCAGCAUUUGAAGAAGCAACAGGAAAUUUUCUGAAUGUUUUCUUCGUAGAUCCGAUAUGGAUAUGUACGUCCGCCGAUCAUUUGUCUUUCCCCGGUGCCGCGAGGGGAGGAGCAAGGCAAUUAUCGCAUUGUUUACAUAGACAAGCAAUUAUAGCUAUUAUUGAAUUACUUAGUUUAGAUUUCUCCCAUGCCUUUUUUUGUAUAUUAGAAUUUUUUAAUUGCUUGUGUAAGACCCUGUUUAUUUUCUAAAGAAUUGAAAUAUUUUUCUUAGUCAUUAAGAUGAAAUUUAUCGGUCUGACCGAAAAGAGGUCCAGGAUAUUUACAAAACUAAAGCUAGCUCAGCGGUACCGUAAGUAACCGAAUACGGUUUACACUUAGCGUUUCCCCUCGGGAAUUAUUUUUAUGGGUUUCGAUAAAAGAGUGAGAUAAAUAUUUGGUUUAUAAAAUUCAUUUGAGUUUUGGUCACUAAAGAGUGAAGUUACUUAAUAAAAACAAUAAAGGGUGUUGCGACGUGAAAUAAGCUGUGUUGGUUUGGUGUAGUGUUUUACUACAAGAAAGGGUCUACACGUCACCAUCUCUACUUUGGAGUCGCCCAAGCGCCCAGUUGUUUUACAAGGUGUUUAUUCUAUUUUUAUGAUUUAUUUUGAUUAUUUUGGACUAUUUUGAAUUUAUUUAACGUAUUAAAAAUUAUAAAAUUAUUUAAAUGAC